rnacentral:lncRNA from 1 species
ACCUGCCUUCUGCCCUUAGGCUCCGGUAGACUGCAAAUGACCUGCUUUCUUUCUGUUCCCGGGCUGCGUUUGGACCCCUGUCGGAUAGUAAAUCCCAAGUAAGGUACCUGCCCUCGGCAGAUUUGAGCUUUCUUCUUGGACACCUAAUACCCACAGUCCCCCAGGAAUGGAACAGAUAAGAAGAUACUGAAAUUGGACGGUGCUGCCGUGCGGCUGCCGCAGGACACCUUUAAUAUCCCUGUUUCUCAGGCUGUAGAUGAAGGGGUUCAGCAUGGAGGUGAUCACCGUGUACAUCACUGAGGCCACUGCAGCCUUUCUCGGGGAAGAUGACACAUCUGAACUGAGGUACCCUCCAAAGCCUGUUCCGUAAAAUCAGCAAACAACUGACAG